rnacentral:rRNA from 1 species
GACGAACGCUGGCGGCGUGCUUAACACAUGCAAGUCGAACGGAAAGGCCCUGCUUUUGUGGGGUGCUCGAGUGGCGAACGCGUGAGUAACACGUGAGUAACCUGCCCUUGACUUUGGGAUAACUUCAGGAAACUGGGGCUAAUACCGGAUAGGAGCUCCUGCUGCAUGGUGGGCGUUGGAAAGUUUCGGCGGUUGGGGAUGGACUCGCGGCUUAUCAGCUUGUUGGUGGGGUAGUGGCUUACCAAGGCUUUGACGGGUAGCCGGCCUGAGAGGGUGACCGGCCACAAUGGGACUGAGAUACGGCCCAGACUCCUACGGUAGGCAGCAGUGGGGAAUAUGGCACAAUGGGCGGAAGCCUGAUGCAGCAACGCCGCGUGCGGGAUGACGGCCUUCGGGUUGUAAACCGCUUUCGCCUGUGACGAAGCGUGAGUGACGGUAAUGGGUAAAGAAGCACCGGCUAACUACGUG